GAUGAAGAACGUAGUGAAAUGCGAUACGUAAUGUGAAUUGCAAAUUCAGUGAAUCAUCGAAUCUUUGAACGCACAUUGCGCCCCUUGGUAUCCCGAGGGGCAUGCCUGUUCGAGCGUCAUUUCACCACUCAAGCCUGGCUUGGUGUUGGGCGACGUCCCCUUUGGGGACGCGCCUCGAAACGCUCGGCGGCGUGGCACCGGCUUUAAGCGUAGCAGAAUCUUUCGCUUUGGAAGUCGGGGCCCCGUCUGCCGGAAGACCUACUCGCAAGGUUGACCUCGGAUCAGGCAGGGAUACCCGCUGAACUUAAGCAUAUCAAUAAGCGGAGGA
rnacentral:misc_RNA from 1 species